rnacentral:rRNA from 1 species
AUGGAACCCUAUGUUGGCAUGAGGUUUGACACCCUUCAAAUUGCUAAGGAUCACUACAACAGCUAUGCCCUACGGAUGGGUUUCUCUGUCAAAAUGAACACCUCUAGGCGGAAAGCUCACACAAAUGUAUUGGUAAAACAACAGUUUUGCUGCAACAAGUACAAGAAGCCGAAAGCUGAUGAUGGAGGAGCUGAGGCUCCUCCUGUCCUAGACCCUAUACCAAAUCCAAAACCCAUUGACAAUGAUGAGGAGAUGGAAGAUGAACCUCCAAUAUUUGCUGAAGAGGAGGCUGGUACUAGUAAGAAAAAGAAGAAGCGUAAACGCGAGACAAUAAAGCAGACUCAAUGCAAGGCGAAAAUGUUGGUGAAGCUGAUAGAUGGGCGAUGGCAGGUGACGCACUUUGUUCGUGACCACAAUCAUCCGCUGGUGAACAAACCUUCGUUGUCCAAAUACUUGAGAUCCCACCAAGGCAUCUCUCCUGAUGAAAAGGAGUUUUUGCGCAUCUUGUAUAACUGCAACUUGACUACAGGUGUGUUUCUGACGUAUGAUGCAUGUAAUGGCAGAGUUCUAUGGAUCUGA